CUCACAAGAGAUACAUAGCUCCCUAUUAGGUUCUCAAAAACUGAAAUGUAAAAUGCCCACUUGAAUGAUACUAGAAAUUACCGUACAAAAUAGCAUCGAAUGCAAACAUAUCAUGUUUUUCUAUAUGCCAUGAUUUCCAUAAUUAAAAGCAUACUAAAAGAGGACAUAUCUUGAGAUUCUUGUAUUUCUUUUCCUAAAAAACAUUCCUUCGAAGUGAAACUGAGCACAGAGGUGUGUUUUCUUUCAUUGUUCACUGGUUAUCAACAUCAGCUUUUGCUUCUGGGGAUUGUUCUUUCCCAGCAUAGGUCUGCAUUGGGGUUUUGCAAGAGAAGAUUUUACUUCACUCCUCUCUAGCUCUAUGUCUCUCAGCUUCUCAAAGCAAAUCUUCCUUUUUUUUUUUUUUUUAACCAGCAUACAACGAUCACCGGAAGCAGCCCUUGAUAGAUAGGGUAGCAAGUUCAGAACUGUCUGUCUAGUUUCACUUCUCCCCAUGUGAGAGUCAAUCAUGCUGUUUAGACUCAAUGCAGCAAGAGUUGUGGUUCCUCAGCAAACACUAACUCAUCCAUGUAGCUCCCGGACUCAGAGCCAGCCUAGCUCAGUCUAUUGGCUUAUCCACAGGCAAACGGUGGAGGUGAUUCUCAGACUGUAUAUUUCUCCAUUAGUGAGGGCUAUUGUGGCUCACUGUUUGAUUUAUCACCUAGGCAACAAAACACUCCCCUUACAGGAUACUUCCGCUCUGAUUAUGGGCCCUGUUCAUUAAUGAAGAAAUUGAAGCUAAAUCCACAGUUAAAUACCAAGUCAUCCAAAGGUGAUGCCCAAUGAUGGCUUACAGUAAUAAAGCAACUACAAGGGCAGCAUAAACUAAACACUCAAUAGAAAAUUGGAGAACUCGGGAAAAGUUGCAGAUUCCUGAAUUAGGUCCUUCGUUGUUCAACUAUGAUCUCUACUUACUGGGUGAUUUUAUUAUUAUAUACGUUAUUUCUUUUCAGCAGCUCAACUGGGCCAUAACAUUAUGGUUACCUAGCUACCAGGAAUCUUUGCGGCUUGCACUUCUUAUGCACACUUGAUUGCGUGUAUUUAGUGAAAGAUGGUCUUAUCAGAAGCGAUUGGUGUCUUCCUAACAUAAACCAGUCUAGCAGACACAGGCUCAGAAAACAAUUCCACUCUCCAGACCGUUCGCUCUGCUGUUCAUGUGAUAACGCACCCCUUUAUUACCAGGUAACUUUGCUUAAAAGUAAGUUUGGGGGGCACCUCGUUAAUUGGAGAGGAAGAAGGCUAAAUUAAAAAAAAACAAGCCUCACAGAAACACAUUAUAAGAAAAAAAAAUGGGAGCAUUCUGGUAACAGGAAAGAGAAUAAAAGUCUGUGGACAGAAUAGGCAAAGAGAAGAGGGGAAAAAGUAAAUAGCUAAGAUAAUCACAUUUUGAUGUAUUUAGAUGAAAAACAGAAGAAAGGAAGAACGAUGUGUGACUCAUGUCGAAUCUGAAGCCAGUGAUUAGAGGGUGAAGCAGAAUGAUGAAAUAGAGGAAGAGUUCUAUGAAGGGUGCAGAAGCAGAAGAUUGCCCUUUCAAGAACUUUUCGUGACCUUCUCCUAAGAAACUACCACUGGGCCCGGUAAAUGUUCAGAUACGCGUCCGUCUACCCUCUCAAAGGUUGGAAACCUUCAUUGCCAGCAACUGGAGGAUGCUGUCACGAGAAUACAACGAAGCAAACAGAAAGCCUACAAAGACACAGGUGAAGACAACGAAGAAUGUAAUUGUUCAUGUGGAAGGCCAAGAAAAGUUUUGUAAAGAGAGGCUGUGCUUCCUGAAGUGUCUACAGAUGGAUAUGGAAAAAGGAUGGGGAUUGCACUGGGCCAGUGAGCUUUCCAGGAGCCCUGAAAGGAGGUGGACCAUGGAGAAAGUCAGCCUGUGAUUGUCUCAUGUCCGUUGAAAAGUAAAGACCACAAGAUAAUGACGGAUUGUGGGUGAUCCUCUCCCAGGCUUGGAUGCUCAGUCAGGCUAUGGUGUUUGCCAGAAAUCAGUGAUAUUUCAGAACGUUGGAAGGUGACCCCAACCGGAACUCGUGUAUUUUUUGUCACUUCAAAGCACCUAUGGACAGUCCUUUGCUUUUCCAUACAAGACUAAGCUUAGGAAUGUUUUGUGUCAUUCGAGGUCAGGCUGCCUGCAGAUAUAGACCCUUUCCUCUGCUGCCUUAUUGCCAGGUACAUUAAAUACAGUAUAUGACAAGAGUUUAUUAAUACUGUACUGGGGUCAACAUCCAUACAAGUUCAUACAAUGGCCCCCAUACAUAAAAAGGUUGAAAAGAAAGGCAGUAAGAAAAAGGAUAUGAUUACGGUGGAGGUUAAAAAGGAUAUCAGCAAGAAGUAUGAAUGAGGUACGCAAGUGGCCGAAAUUGCAAGAUUUCAUAAAGAGUCUACGUCUGCAUCUCGUCUGCACAUGAGGAGGAGAAAAAGGCAGAAGACACCCUCACUUCAACUGACAUUAGGGAGAUGUGUCAAAUGUGGGAAACGGUGCAAAAUUUUGUAGACAAGCACCACCCGAAUAAAGAUGUAGCAGUGCAAGUGAUGAAUCGGUUUAAUGACAAUGCAGCGUCACAGUUCCGCGAAAUCCUCAAAAGGAGGCAAAGGCAAGUGUCGUUGAAUAGGUUCUUGUUAAAGUUGCAUGACAAGAAAAAAAUUCCCUUGAGCCAAUAGAUAGCAGUGAUUCUACGAGUGAUAAUGAAAAUUGUCCCACACGGUAACCCUCCUCCCUUGUCACGAAGGCUCACACCAGCCACGAAGGUUU